ACGAACGCUGGCGGCGUGGAUAAGACAUGCAAGUCGAACGAGAGAAUUGCUAGCUUGCUAAUAAUUCUCUAGUGGCGCACGGGUGAGUAACACGUGAGUAACCUGCCCCCGAGAGCGGGAUAGCCCUGGGAAACUGGGAUUAAUACCGCAUAGUAUCGAAAGAUUAAAGCAGCAAUGCGCUUGGGGAUGGGCUCGCGGCCUAUUAGUUAGUUGGUGAGGUAACGGCUCACCAAGGCGAUGACGGGUAGCCGGUCUGAGAGGAUGUCCGGCCACACUGGAACUGAGACACGGUCCAGACACCUACGGGUGGCAGCAGUCGAGAAUCAUUCACAAUGGGGGAAACCCUGAUGGUGCGACGCCGCGUGGGGGAAUGAAGGUCUUCGGAUUGUAAACCCCUGUCAUGUGGGAGCAAAUUAAAAAGAUAGUACCACAAGAGGAAGAGACGGCUAACUCUGUGCCAGCAGCCGCGGUAAUACAGAGGUCUCAAGCGUUGUUCGGGAUCACUGGGCGUAAAGCGUGCGUAGGCUGUUUCGUAAGUCGUGUGUGAAAGGCGCGGGCUCAACCCGCGGACGGCACAUGAUACUGCGAGACUAGAGUAAUGGAGGGGGAACCGGAAUUCUCGGUGUAGCAGUGAAAUGCGUAGAUAUCGAGAGGAACACUCGUGGCGAAGGCGGGUUCCUGGACAUUAACUGACGCUGAGGCACGAAGGCCAGGGGAGCGAAAGGGAUUAGAUACCCCUGUAGUCCUGGCAGUAAACGGUGCACGCUUGGUGUGCGGGGAAUCGACCCCCUGCGUGCCGGAGCUAACGCGUUAAGCGUGCCGCCUGGGGAGUACGGUCGCAAGAUUAAAACUCAAAGAAAUUGACGGGGACCCGCACAAGCGGUGGAGUAUGUGGCUUAAUUCGAUGCAACGCGAAGAACCUUACCUGGGCUUGACAUGUAAUGAACAACAUGUGAAAGCAUGCGACUCUUCGGAGGCGUUACACAGGUGCUGCAUGGCCGUCGUCAGCUCGUGUCGUGAGAUGUUUGGUUAAGUCCAGCAACGAGCGCAACCCCUGUUGCCAGUUACCAGCACGUGAAGGUGGGGACUCUGGCGAGACUGCCCAGAUCAACUGGGAGGAAGGUGGGGACGACGUCAGGUCAGUAUGGCCCUUAUGCCCAGGGCUGCACACGUACUACAAUGCCCAGUACAGAGGGGGCCGAAGCCGCGAGGCGGAGGAAAUCCUGAAAACUGGGCCCAGUUCGGACUGUAGGCUGCAACCCGCCUACACGAAGCCGGAAUCGCUAGUAAUGGCGCAUCAGCUACGGCGCCGUGAAUACGUUCCCGGGUCUUGUACACACCGCCCGUCACAUCAUGGAAGCCGGUCGCACCCGAAGUAUCUGAAGCCAACCGCAAGGAGGCAGGGUCCUAAGGUGAGACUGGUAACUGGGAUG
rnacentral:rRNA from 1 species